rnacentral:lncRNA from 1 species
UUUUUUUUCUUUUUAUUAUUAUUAUUACACUUUUAAGUAUUAGGGUACAUGUGCACAAUGUGCAGGUUAGUUACAUAUGUAUACAUGUGCCAUGCUGGCGUGUUGCACCCAUUAACUCGUCAUUUAGCAUUAGGGAUAUCUCCUAAUGCUAUCCCUCCCCGCUUCCCCCACCGCACAACAGUCCCCAGAGUGUGAUGUUCCCCUUCCUGUGUCCAUGUGUUCUCAUUGUUCAAUUCCCAUCUAUGAGUGAGAACGUGCGGUGUUCGGUUUUUUGUCCUUGCGAUAGUUUACUGAGAAUGAUGAUUUCCAAUUUCACCCAUGUCCCUACAAAGGACAUGAACUCAUCAUUUUUUAUGGCUGCAUAGUAUUCCAUGGUGUGUAUGUGCCACAUUUUCUUAAUCCAGUCUAUCAAUGUCCAACAAAGAUUUGGCUUUCUUUUCAUUUAGAAAGAAGCUCUCACAGUGGAAGACUAUAAUAUGACAUAAGAAGAAAUGUGGACUUGGAGAUACAGAAGAGACAGGGUCUCGCUCUGUUACCCAGGCUGGAGUGUAGUGGCACGAUCUAAGGUCACUGCAACCUCCGCCUCUGGGGUUCAAGCCUCCCACCUCAGCCUACCAAGCAACUGGGACUACAGACAGGGUCUCAUUCCUGUUGCUCAGGCUGGAGUACAGUGGCAUGAUCUUGGCUCACUGCAGCUUCGACCUCCCGGGCUCAGGUGAUUCUCCCACCUCAGCCUCCCAAGCAACUGGAACUACCCAGCUAGUCCUACCAUGACCGGUUAGUUUUUUGUAUUUUUAAUAGAGACAUGGUUUCACCACAUUGCCCAGGCUAGUCCUGAACUCCCGGACUCAAGCAGUCCACCCACCUAGGCCUCCUAAAGUGCUAGAAUUACAGGCGUGAGCCACUGUGCCCAGCCUGUUACAUCUACAUUAGAUAUAUACAUAUAUAAUUAUUUAUAUAUUUUAUAUAUGUAAUUAUUUCCUAAUGAAAUAACAGACAACAUGGUAAUCAAACAAGGAAAGAAAGAAGUAUAUGUGAAAGUAUAAAAACCCUCAGAAAACACAUCAGAUGAGUCAGUAAAACUAGUUGUGAAUAGUCACACAUGCCUGUAAUCCCAGCUACUUGGAAGGCUGAGGUAGGAGGAUUGCUUGAGCUCAGGAGUUUGAGACCAGCCUGGGCAACACGCAUGACACCAUCUCAAGAAAAAAAAAAUUGUUGUGGAAUACCAGAUUAAUAAAUACUACUUUUUAAGCAUAAUCCUUGCAUUUCAGUUCCUAAAAUAGUCAAACAGUGGUAGACAUACUCUAAAUCUUCAAAACAAUAAGUGAGUCAUAAAUCUCUUUACUGUAAGUUCUCACAGUCCCUUGCACUUUCAAAAACCUCCUCACAUUUGCAUUUACAUUUUUAAUGCCUAUCUUCCUAGGGAAUAUUCUCUCAAGUACUUGGUGAAGUAUAUGAACUGUUAAUUGUCUUAUUAACUGCAGAUCCCCAGUGCGAAGUCAGUGCCAAAAACAAGUCAUUAUUUAGGUAAAUACAUAGUCAUUGAAUUAUUGAAUAAUAUAUAAAUAUUGAAUUGAAUGAAACAUUCCUUUUUCAGAAAUAAAGU